ensembl:lncRNA
CAGGAGGGAGGAGCUCUGGGACACGCUGCCUUGGAGGUGAGGCUGGCGGGAGCAUCUUGUGGGACUGAGAAACAUGUUCUCCUCAGCUAUGCCCAUGCUGCCAGCAGCACAGUGCAUGGUGCCAUUCACAGGCCUUGGUGUGCUGCAGAAGGAGGGUGUUGAUCUGUUGGAGUGUUCCUUGCCGUACGACAGCCUCUGUCUGGCAGCCAAUGGCAGGGAAGGCAGCACGUGGAGCUGGAAGUUGUGCCUACUGCAGCUCUGCUCAGCUGAGCCACGUGGGCCCCUGUUCCUGAGAAAAGUUGCUGCGCUCUGCUCGGUAUUAUCUUGCAGGUGAAUCUUCCAUAACUGCUAGAGGAAUGCCCAUAAGUUACCCUAGCAGUGGUCUGAGAGUGCAGCACGUGGUCCCUGCCAUGAAAUGGCGGCUGACACAAAAUGGCGGCUCCCAGUGUAUGCAAGGGGACGGACUUCCUGUUCAAUGGACCACUGGGAGAGCUGGAGGUGUGGGCUGGUUCUGGCAGCCAAUCCCACCAGGGUAGGUGUGCUCAGGAGGGAGGAGCUCUGGGACACGCUGCCUUGGAGGUGAGGCUGGCGGGAGCAUCUUGCGGGACUGAGAAACAUGUUCUCCUCAGCUAUGCCCAUGCUGCCAGCAGCCCAGUGCAUGGUGCCAUUCACAGGCCUUGGUGUGCUGCAGGAGGAGGGUGUUGAUCUGUUGGAGUGUUCCUUUGCCGUAGGACGGCCUCUCUGCCUGUCAGCCAGUGGCAGGGAAGGCAGCACGUGGAGCUGGAGGUUGUGCCUGCUGCAGCUCUGCUCAGCUGAGCCACGUGGGCCCCUGUUCCUGAGAAAAGUUGCUGCAGUCUCCACUGUGUUAUCUUGCAGGUGUUUUUCGGUAACUGCCAUAACUGUUUCUGUAUGUUUGGAAAGCAGUGAAUGGAGAAUUAUCUACCGUUUCUAUGUGUCCACAGUAACUCCAUUCUCAACUGUCUGUGUAAAUACCAAGAAUAUACAGACAGGUGUAUUUCUUUGCUUUGAUAGUUUGAGAUCUAAAUUGAAAUUUUCAGGAUGUCUGUGAAUUAACAACUUUUCUUUCUAGGCGGUCCUGUUUUGGGAGAUAUCUUAUCAGUGGCAUUAUUUCUGUCAUUUAAGUAAUCCUGUGAUGUGUUGUGUUGGAGCGGAUGCUGCUGCUGCUUGGGCUCGUCUAUUCUUUGUAAUCUCUGCUUUUGACACUUCAUUCUUUUAGUUACCAGAUAAAGAGUUGCAUGUAUCAGCCAGCAUUGGUAUGUGUUAAUGUCUGUAGAAUUACUUUUUGUAACUUCUGUAGACACAGGAAAGCGGAUGAUGUGGUACUUGUUCAGUUUUUAUUCCCUGUAAUGUUUCAGUUUAAUAUAAGUGUUGUGGCUUUCUGCUUUUUGCAGGUGGUAGAGCAGCUGCAUUCUGUUGGUGGGCAGAAUAAAAUUUCUCUGUUUACUUUAACAUUUACCAUCUUUUUUUUUUCUUUUUUUUUUUUCUGUUUUUCUGUACUGUUUUUCAACAUAUUAAACCUUAUUAUACAAACCUAUAGAGGAC